rnacentral:rRNA from 1 species
AUGAAUGUUGCGCUCAUGUUGAGAUGGGUCUGGCGGAUCUUAUGCAGCGAGGGAGGACUAUGUUUAUGGCGCAUUUAGGCGAAAUACCUUAGGGGAGAACCGCUCUUGGCAUGCAACCGGAUGGAUGGCUCACAAUUAUGGCGAGCCAUCCAAAGGAUCAAGGAGGACAUUCGCCUAGGGAUCUCCUUCUCCUUAGGGAACAGGAAAGGGAUCCAAUUUUGACUGGAUCCCUGGCUGGGUACUGAGCCAUUACGUGUUUCCUUCUCUGGCCUAUUCUCGAUAUGUGUGGAUCCGUCCCGCCUAGUGUCUACGGCUUUCGAAGCUGGACAGUGGAGCAUCAGGUUUCAUCGCACCUUUGGACAAGCCGAGAGUAACAACUGGACUAGACUGUGGGCCGCCCUACCACUCGUGCUUCCGGAUUAUCCGGACACGGUAUCAUGGCGGCUCGCGUCGACGGAGGAGUUUUCAGUGAGCACGGCAUACCAUGCCCUUUGCCCGUCGCUUGCCACUCCCUGGAUGUCCCCAUUAUGA